UACGAAGGGUGCAUGCGUUGCUCGGAAUUAUUGGGCGUAAAGGGUAGGUAGGUGGUAAUAAAAGUCUGGGGUGAAAUCCCUGAGCUCAACUCAGGAAGUGCCUUGGAAACUUUAUUACUAGAGUGCUGGAGAGGUUCGCAGAAUUCCCGGUGUAGCGGUGAAAUGCGUAGAGAUCGGGAGGAAUACCAGAGGCGAAGGCGGCGAACUGGACAGCAACUGACACUCAACUACGAAAGCGUGGGGAGCAAACAGG
rnacentral:rRNA from 1 species